rnacentral:misc_RNA from 1 species
GUAGGUGAACCUGCGGAAGGAUCAUUACAGAGUUCAUGCCCUUACGGGUAGAUCUCCCACCCUUGAAUAUAUUACCUUUGUUGCUUUGGCAGGCCGCGUUUACGCCAGAGGCUUCGGCUUUUGAGCGCCUGCCAGAGGACCACAACUCUGUUUUUAGUGAUGUCUGAGUACUAUAUAAUAGUUAAAACUUUCAACAACGGAUCUCUUGGUUCUG